rnacentral:rRNA from 1 species
CCUACGGGCGGCUGCAGUGAGGAAUAUUGGUCAAUGGACGAGAGUCUGAACCAGCCAAGUAGCGUGAAGGAUGACUGCCCUAUGGGUUGUAAACUUCUUUUAUAUGGGAAUAAAAUGUUCCACGUGUGGGAUUUUGUAUGUACCAUAUGAAUAAGGAUCGGCUAACUCCGUGCCAGCAGCCGCGGUAAUACGGAGGAUCCGAGCGUUAUCCGGAUUUAUUGGGUUUAAAGGGAGCGUAGGUGGAUUGUUAAGUCAGUUGUGAAAGUUUGCGGCUCAACCGUAAAAUUGCAGUUGAAACUGGCAGUCUUGAGUACAGUAGAGGUGGGCGGAAUUCGUGGUGUAGCGGUGAAAUGCUUAGAUAUCCCGAAGAACUCCGAUUGCGAAGACAGUUCACUGGACUGCAACUGACACUGAGGCUCGAAAGUGUGGGUAUCAAACAGGAUUAGAUACCCUUGUAGUC